UACCAGCACCCCUAGUGGUCGGGACGUUUAUUGGGCCUAAAGCGUCCGUAGCCGGUUCUACAAGUCUUCCGUUAAAUCCACCUGCUCAACAGAUGGGCUGCGGAAGAUACUAUGGAGCUAGGAGGCGGGAGAGGCAAGCGGUACUCGAUGGGUAGGGGUAAAAUCCGUUGAUCCAUUGAAGACCACCAGUGGCGAAGGCGGCUUGCCAGAACGCGCUCGACGGUGAGGGAUGAAAGCUGGGGGAGCAAACCGG
rnacentral:rRNA from 1 species